UUCUGUCAGACACAUUAGAAAGGCUCCUGAGCAACGGGGCAGUUUUGAAUUAGUUCAGGAUGAAAUUACCAUGACAAACUUUGAGAUAUUAUUUUUACAUCAAUGGCACCAGUAAAUAACCCAGCCAACCUUGCAGAUAAGCCGAGAAGAGGAGUAGACAAGAAGACGGCAAUACCCAACUUUGCAUUUGCUUUGUUGAUGCAUAGUUUUAAAAAGAAGACCUCCUGAAGUAGGAAUGUGUGAGGGAAAAUUGUUAUUUUUAAGGUGGCAAGAAUAAAUAUUUAAUUAGA